AAAAAAAAAAGACCUGUCUUUCCUGUGUUUCAUCUUAGGAUCACUGUGCCUCCCAAGGUGACAAAUUUCAAGUGUCACAGGCUGACAGGAAAGCGGAGAGGCAGCCCGCAAGCGGGCAGGGGGGCAGGCCUCGGGUCAGAGGCCGGCAGACAGGGCGGAAAGUCAGGUGGACCGACGGGAGGCACGCCAGGCCGUGAUACAUGCGCAGAGACCCGGGCAGCACAACAGGAAAGCAGGCGGCUGGGCAGACCCGCGGCCAGGCUGGCGGGCAGCGCGAGGCAGGCCGAAAAGCAGAUAGGCAGGUGGCCAGGAGGGCAUGAGGGCUGUGGGGAUGGAUGGCCUUUGGGCACAUCCCCCGGGGCCGCCCCGAGCAGCCCUCAGCCGCUUUUGAACCUUUCCAGGGCCAGGCUGCUGCUUCUCCCACCCAGCCGAGCCUGGCCACACGCAACCCCCGCCUCGGGAAGGCGGCGCUCUGGGCCCAGGAACCGGCUCGACCCUCACUCUGCUCCAAGCCUGGCCGGCCGCCUGCUUCCCCAGGGCCGAGUCACGCCUGACCCACUCCAAACACACAAGUCACACACCAGUCCAGCUACAGACACCUGCGUCUGCAGGGAGCAAUCCCCAGAGGUCCGCAUAGCACGCUCACGGCUUAACACGAGCGUAUCCCGAUCCGAUGCCGCCCUCAUAGGUCCGGCGGGGGGGGGGGGGGGGGUUGGCACGCACGUGGAGCCCCACGAAGACACAGGUGCAAAGGGAGGCACAAUCGGAGGCACAGCAUCCUCAAGGGGGGUCGCGGGAGCACCGCCGCAGCACGCGCCACUGUUCGCUCGGGUGGGAGGCAUUCCGCAGCUCGCUGCGCCCGUGGAAACCCACCGGUACCACAGCCAGUGGCUAGAUUCUGGCCUCACCCUCGCCUCUCCGCUCAGUGUGGCACGGCCGCCCCUGUCCUCGCCCCGGCCGACUCCUCCUCCCACCUCACCCGUCUCUCACCGACUCCUCCACGAGAGCCCUCGAGGUUGCGGCAUCCGAGCUCAGGCUCAGGCUUCGGCGGCUUACUCUUCCCUCCCGGCCCCAGAGGUGAUCCCACCUGCUCCCGGAGUGUCCAGUCCAUCUUAG
rnacentral:lncRNA from 1 species